rnacentral:rRNA from 1 species
CAGUCGAACGGAGUAUGAGAGCAGAAGGUUUCGGCUGGAAGUUUGAAAUACUUAGUGGCGGACGGGUGAGUAACGCGUGGGUAACGUACCUAUCAGAGGGGAAUAACAAUGAGAAAUCAGUGCUAAUACCGCAUAAGGCUCAGUCAUCGCAUGAUGGCAGAAGGAAAGGUGGUGGACUCGAGAGAGGCUAUCGCUGAUAGAGCGACCCGCGUCUGAUUAGCUAGUUGGUGGGGUAAAGGCCUACCAAGGCGACGAUCAGUAGCCGGCCUGAGAGGGUGGACGGCCACAUUGGGACUGAGACACGGCCCAAACUCCUACGGGAGGCAGCAGUGGGGAAUCUUCCGCAAUGGGCGCAAGCCUGACGGAGCAAUGCCGCGUGAACGAAGAAGGUCUUCGGAUUGUAAAGUUCUGUCCUUAUCGAAGAGAGGGUAUAGAGUGAAAAAUGAUAUACUAGGACGGUAGAUGAGGAGGAAGCCCCGGCUAACUACGUGCCAGCAGCCGCGGUAAUACGUAGGGGGCGAGCGUUGUCCGGGAUCACUGGGCGUAAAGGGCGCGUAGGCGGUAAUAUAAGUCAGAUGUGAAAGGUGGGGGCUCAACCCCUAGAGUGCAACUGAUACUGUAUAACUUGAGUGUGAGAGAGGGAAGCGG